rnacentral:rRNA from 1 species
UUGGUANGGUAGGGCCUACCAGGCGACGAUCGGUAGCUGGUCUGAGAGGAUGGCCAGCCACACUGGAACUGAGACACGGUCCAGACUCCUACGGGAGGCAGCAGUGGGGAAUAUUGGACAAUGGGGGCAACCCUGAUCCAGCAAUGCCGCGUGUGUGAAGAAGGCCUGAGGGUUGUAAAGCACUUUCAGUGGGGAGGAGGUUGCAUAGGUUAAGAGCUAAUGUAAUGGACGUUACCCACAGAAGAAGCACCGGCUAACUCCGUGCCAGCAGCCGCGGUAAUACGGAGGGUGCGAGCGUUAAUCGGAAUUACUGGGCGUAAAGGGUGCGUAGGUGGUUAAUUAAGUUAUCUGUGAAAUCCCUGGGCUCAACCUGGGCAGGUCAUAUAAAACUGGUUAACUCGAGUAUAUGAGACGGGAGUGGAAUUUCCGGUGUAGCGCUGAAAUGCGUAUAGAUCGGAAGGAACACCACUGUCGAACGGGGGUACCUGGCCUACUACUGACAUUGCAGCGCUAAAGCGUGGGGACCAAUAAGGAUUUAGAUACCUUGGGAUUCCACGCUUUAAACGAAGCUGCCUAGGUUGUAUGGUUAUAGAAUUAUAAU